GACGCGGUGGCAUAGUGGUUAAGUGUGCUUGACUUGGGAUCAAACGGUCUUCAAUUUCAAGUCCUUGCCA